rnacentral:rRNA from 1 species
AGCGAACGCUGGCGGCAGGCUUAACACAUGCAAGUCGAGCGGGCGUAGCAAUACGUCAGCGGCAGACGGGUGAGUAACGCGUGGGAACGUACCUUUUGGUUCGGGAUAACCCAGGGAAACUUGGGCUAAUACCGGAUAAGCCCUUACGGGGAAAGAUUUAUCGCCGAAAGAUCGGCCCGCGUCUGAUUAGCUAGUUGGUGAGGUAACGGCUCACCAAGGCGACGAUCAGUAGCUGGUCUGAGAGGAUGAUCAGCCACAUUGGGACUGAGACACGGCCCAAACUCCUACGGGAGGCAGCAGUGGGGAAUAUUGGACAAUGGGCGCAAGCCUGAUCCAGCCAUGCCGCGUGAGUGAUGAAGGCCCUAGGGUUGUAAAGCUCUUUUGUGCGGGAAGAUAAUGACGGUACCGCGAGAAUAAGCCCCGGCUAACUUCGUGCCAGCAGCCGCAGUAAC